rnacentral:rRNA from 1 species
UGAAGUUUUCAGAUGGAUCUUAGAUCGACUGAGCGGCGGACGGGUGAGUAACGCGUGGAUAACCUGCCUCACACAGGGGGAUAACAGUUAGAAAUGACUGCUAAUACCGCAUAAGCGCACGGCAUCGCAUGAUGCAGUGUGAAAAACUCCGGUGGUGUGAGAUGGAUCCGCGUCUGAUUAGGUAGUUGGUGGGGUAACGGCCCACCAAGCCGACGAUCAGUAGCCGACCUGAGAGGGUGACCGGCCACAUUGGGACUGAGACACGGCCCAAACUCCUACGGGAGGCAGCAGUGGGGAAUAUUGCACAAUGGGCGAAAGCCUGAUGCAGCGACGCCGCGUGAGUGAAGAAGUAUCUCGGUAUGUAAAGCUCUAUCAGCAGGGAAGAAAAUGACGGUACCUGACUAAGAAGCCCCGGCUAACUACGUGCCAGCAGCCGCGGUAAUACGUAGGGGGCAAGCGUUAUCCGGAUUUACUGGGUGUAAAGGGAGCGCAGACGGCGAUGCAAGUCUGGAGUGAAAGCCCGGGGCUCAACCCCGGGACUGCUUUGGAAACUGUAUGGCUAGAGUGCUGGAGAGGCAAGCGGAAUUCCUAGUGUAGCGGUGAAAUGCGUAGAUAUUAGGAAGA